AAAAAAAAAAAAAAAAAAAAAUUAGCCGGGCGUGGUGGCAGGCGCCUGUAGUCCCAGCUACUCGGAGAGGCUGAGGCAGGAGAAUGGCGUGAACCCGGGAGGCGGAGCUUGCAGUGAGCCGAGACUGCGCCACUGCACUCCAGCCUGGGCGACAGAGCGAGACUCCGUCUCAAAAAAAAAAAAAAAAAAAGAAAAUGGGCAGUUGUCCCUGAUAUAUUUUGGGUAAAGUAGAAUAAAGAAACUUUGUCAUUUUUAGAUCAGGAAGACAGUAAGUUUUCAGGUGCUGAGCUGUGGGAAUUAGAGGUGACUCUAAGUACUUGAAUUGGAAAUGUAAGUGGAUUAUCUUCUUCAGGGAAUAAAUACAGGAGACUGGGAUCUAAGACAGACCCUUUAGUACUGUUCACGAUGAAAGGAUGAGAGGAACCAAAAGCACCCCUAUCAUGUAAUUUGCUUUCACAGAAGCAGUAAAAUCAGAGCUUUCAGGAAACUUUAGAAACCAUCUAGAUGAGCUGUAGAUAAGGAAGCUGUAGAUAAGCAAUUGAGAGUAGAACUGGGACUAGAAUCCAGGUCUCCUGAUUUGUAGAUUACUGCUCUUCACAUAGAAAAGAACAAUCAGGAGAAAUGUAGUAAAUAAUGUUGCACAGUGCCACAUUCCAUGCUCCUCAAGACACAGCCGACUUUCCCACUUACCAGGGAGACAUGAAGUACCUCUUCUAUAGAUACUCAGUAGAUUUGCAGCUGUAUUGACUAAGUGCUCUGCUUUCAUAUCACACUAUGACUAGGCAGAGGUCUUUGUUGAUAGUAUCAAUUGUUACUCAUUCUAGGGUUUUACCACAUUUUGGUGGAGCUCCAAGUGCAAAUCAGCUCAUACAGAAAAUAAACCAGAAAUGCCAACGUCUAGGCUGAAAAUGGCAAAUACGUCUGCAUUUACACUGUCAUUUCCUCUUCCCCUGUACAUAGGAGACUGCUAUGUACAGAACGUGUGUUCUCUCUAAAACUCAUGUUGGAAUUUAUCUGCCACUGUAACAAUAUUAAGAAGUGGGACCUUUACGAAGUGUUUAGGUCAUAAGGGCUCCACCUUCAUGAAUGGACUAAUGCUGUUAUUCUGGGAGAGGGUUUGUUAUCAUGAGGUGGGCUGACCCUUUCUUCUUCUCUUUCUCUCUCUGCCCUUCAGUCAUGUGGUGCCUUCUGCCAUGUUAUGGUGCAACAAGAAGGCCCUCACAAGAUGUGAGCCCCUCGAUCUUGGACUUGUCAGCCUACAGAAUUGUGAGUUGAUGAUAAAUUUCUAUUCAUUAUAAAUUACCCAGUCUGUGGUAUUCUGUUAUAGCGCAUAAAAUGGAGUAAGUCAGAAAUACAGCUAGUUAAUCACGGGACUCUCUUGCACUGAACUUCAAAUGCUUCUCAACACAAGGUUCCAGGCAUCAACCAUAAGUCGAUAGUACUGGCAUGAGGAUAAACACCCAUUUACAAUCCUGGCAUUAUCUCACAUUAUCCUGCAUAUAGUUGCAAAUUAAAGAUCCAAGUGAAAAUUUCUACGCAACGGGCAUCUUUCAGUGGUCACGCUCUUUACUUGGUGCCCUGCUCUGUGGGUUUACCUCAGACUGAAAACUCUAAACUUAUUCUGUGGGUGUAUUCAUUUUAAGCAUGUCCCAACUCUCUUUAUUGUUAUUGACAGUCUAAGAGUGUCCUAUGUCAGUAAACAGAAAGGUUCAUUUUAAAAUCCCUUAUACAACACUUGAUCCAGUACUGGAUGCAAAUAGUUAUUUGCUAGACAGAAUUCUUUUCGUGAUGGUAAAAUAUGAUCCUUAGAUACCAGAAAAGCUAAUACCGCUUUGGUAAUAGCUUGACUGUAUUCUAAAGGAUUCCUUUAAUAUUGAUAAAUAUAAUUCAUUUAUGGAGUAUCCAAUAUCACAUAAUAGAAUCCCCUGAUGUUUUGAUAUUAGGAAUGAUUUCAAAUGGAGUGACCAAGAUAAUUUGUGGAAUUUGACAGAUGAGGUUAGAGUAUUAAUGUUAGAUUCAAACAGAGUUAUGUGGCCAAAAGAUGAAGUGUGGAAUCCUGGUAGAAAACCUGAAGUCAGCAAGGUGUUGCAACAGCUCUGAUCAUAGCUUUAGUAAGCAAGCCACAAGGUAGAUAAAUAAGCUCUUACAAUUGCCAUGAGUUUACAAAAACAUUUAGAAUUUCCACAGUGAAAGAAUUGAUCAAGCAGCAUUUCUUCCUCUCUUACUUCUAUUUAUUUUUUUGCACCGUCUUUGAUGAGGAGCGACACAGGGAUGUAGCUAAAUUAUUUAAUUCUUUCAUUUUUUGGUGGGUUUCUUGAUUGUCACAUACAUUUCCUCUUCUCAAACUGCAAUCUACUGUCAAAUGUGACUUAUGAGACCUUGAUUCCUUUCCCCUCUAUGAGUUCUUUCUGGAAGGUAUGGAAAAACUGACCACAGAUGGACUCCUUAUGCUCAGAGGGUAUUAGCCAGGACUUGGUGUUGCCACUUGUUCUAUUCUUUUAUCUUUUAUGAGCUGAAGGGUCACUUACUCCCCUAAGGUCAUGAUGAUCCAUUACACUACCAAAGGGAAGUUUUCUUUUCUCUGUUUGGGUUUUGUUCAACGUUAUACAUUUAGGUUCAUGCUGUCAGUGAGCUGCUAUGCUUGAGCAAUGCUGGGUCUGUAUUUAUAGACUUGAAAGUUUCUCUUUUUGGCUUUGUCUCCUGCACUUCAAGGAAUCGAUGUAAUGCGUUACCAUGACAGCUUUUCUUGAUGGUUGUAUUAAUAAAGUGACCUCUACCUUUACCACCUGAAACAAGCCCAGGAUUGCUGAGAGAAAGAUGUUCCAAAUUGUUCCCGUCCUUUUCAAAGAAACAUCAAAGAGUGAAUAACCUCCACCAAACAGGCUAAUAACAAAGGGAAUCAUUGUAAUUCACUCUUGUCUGCUGUGGCCUUGCUGUCACCAUAACCAUCCCCUGACAAUGUCAAACCAAGUCUUGGGAGGUGAUUUUAUAAUGUCAGGAUGAAACAAAGCCAUUUCCCUGUUAAUGCCAAUGUCAAGGCAAAAUGAAUUGGUGUCAAUAAAUUCAAGGGUCACACAUGCUGAUUUUUAGGGUCACUGUCGAUAUGAAGAAGAAAUAAGGACUAUAAUUUAGUAAACAUAUGGAAAUGACUCCUGAGGACAUAAUUAGGGCUCUUGCCUUGUAUAGACUGGUUUCUACAAUAAAUCAGGACUGCACAAAAAUAUUUGGAUGCUGUAUGGAAAACAAUUUUACAAGGUCUCCAACUGGCAUAAAAUGUUUUCAAGUAUGAAAACAUCUCUGGGCUUCCUCAACAGGCUGAUAGAUCCCUGCAGGUAGCACUUCCCUUGUUUAAUGGUCUUGCCAAUUAAAUCAAAUUAGAGAUGAAUUUUUAACUCUGUGAUGAAGACACUGCUUAUUAUAAGAUAAAACAGGACAAUUAGCUAUUUCCCUUAAGUGAACUGUUGUUUUAAAUUGAAUAAGUUAGGGGUGGGGGACAGGACAGGGAUAGCCAAACACCUUCCUCAGUAUUCUAUGCUUCAUAUAACAUCAUGUCAGUCAUUUGAAAGUAAUUUAAUGAAAUAAUCUAGAGUCAGGUUCACAAAAUGUUUACAUCUCUCGUUUCUUUUGUUUGUAUUAUUUAAAAACUUCCAUUUAUUUCAAAACUCCAAGAGUUCGAAAUGGUCUUCCUUGAUGUGAUCUUUGUUUUGUGGAUAGUUUAACUUCAACCUCUGACUCAUCUGUCAUUCGCUUUUGUAAGAUGUGAUAAUUACCCACACAAAUGUAUUUGCAUAUUAGGCCAAUUCUUGCUGGUCUAAUUAUGCUCUUUAUAAUAUAAUGUUUAACAUAAUUUGUGUAAUCAUUUGGUUUUCAGGACCAAAGAUCAGAUGAUAUAUAUUAGAAGGUAAUGAUCAGUUUAUCACUUGAACAAAAACACCCACACCAAGCCAACUAUUAACUUUGGAUUAUCAGCAGCAACAAAUAUUCACUUGGAUAAAAUCAUGAAUUUUACUUAUAAGUGCAUAAUACACUUCAUUAAAAAAUGCAAUCUGAAGGAAUUCCUACCACAUCAGGUAAAGUGAAAACAUAGAUCAUAAGGCUCAAAGGCUACAGAUUUAUUUUGGGAUUCAUUAAUUGCUGACAAUGUCACCAGCAUUUUUUCAGCCAUGGCCAAAGCAGAUCAGAAUGACUGAGUUCUAAGUCAAGUAUCCUUAGGAUUAUUGGGAAACCUACUGGUUAACAGAUAGACAACAGCAGGUACGAAUGACCUUAAUGGGAAAUUUGUUUCAAAAACAUUUUUAGCAGAUGAUUGGAAAGGAUGACCACUCUGUCCAUGCAUUUGAACCUUAAUACAGGCUUGGCAUUUUGAGAUCUAUACUGAAAUUUAUUAGGGCUCCAAAACCUUUAAUCACUGUGUAUACAGAAUAUGUAUGUAAACUGAUGGUUAUAUACAUCAAUAAUCUACAUCGAUAAUAUACAUCAUUUAUUUUCCUUGAGCUAUGCUGUGAUAAUCGGGGUCUCAUGGGUGUUACAUCUGUUAUAAUGGUAUCUUUCUAUAUAGUUAGUGGAAUUAUAGUCAUUGAUUCCUUCUUUGGGGUAAUGCAAAAAGCACUGACAAACACCCAUAACUUAGCUAAAUAUCCAAACAGCUUCCUUUUCUCUGGCUUGCACCUUGAAAACCCCAUUCCCCUGCCCUCUGGAACAGGCAGUGUCGUCUACGUGUGAAUUCUUGCCCUUUGGAGAGGAAAGGAAUCCACAAGUGCACACAACAAGCACCUUAUAAGCCCACAAAGAAGGAACUUUCAAAUGCCAUUAAAGCAGCCUAGAAGAUACAAUCAGGUUUGAUGGUUUAACUGUAACUCUCUUUACCUUAAAAGCCAGGCAACAGGUAAGCUAGUCAUGUGGGAUGUUGAGUGACCUCUGGAAGCUCUUACAUCCUGCUUGCUGGAAAUCUGAGAAAAUACCCAUUGCAUUCUAAGCAGAACAUCCAGAGGCAUAUUGAAGGGAGAGUCCAAAAUAUCACUUUUAGUCAGAGGGUUUUUAUUAGGAGUAAAUUUUCCUAAGUUCUUGAUAAUAAAGGUUAAUAUAUUUUUUUCAAAGGCACAACAAAGCAUCCUUUCAGGUCACCACUGACUUCAAAACAAAACAAAACAGAAAUUUCCUGAUUUGGUGUGUAAAAGGUCAACAUCUGCUGAUGCUCAGAUAUGGGGGAUGUGGUGGAGGCGGCCGAAUGGGAUGUCGAGUGAGCAGUACAGUUAGAGGGGCCAUGCAACAUACAACUGACACUCCAAACAGAAAGACACCCCAGCGCCAAAGAACUACUUUUCCAUCCAUCCAUUUCUGAAACUUUCGACAGGCCAGAUCACUAUAGCAGCCUCAAUAAUCUGUGUCAGCUUGCUUCUACUUGCUUCCCUGUUGCACUAAAAUGCACGUGCAAAUGCAAUUGUCAAGGCCUGAAAGGAGCACAUUGUGGGGUAUAUAUACAGUUAGGCAAAUGCCAAGGGGGAUACUAAAGCAGAAAAAGUAGACUAUUAGAGCUGAAGGUUUUCAUUUGCAAGUUUGUAACACUGAUGCUGUUUCAACAAGAUCACAAAGAGGAUGCUGUAGCAUUAGGCUGGUAUCUCUAAAUGGAUGUGAACACUACUUCUAUUUACAAAGUGGCCAAUUUUCAUGGCAUUUACCACAUCUAGCACUUAACAAAUCAGUGUCCAGGCCUAUUCACAAGCUCAAGUAAACUGGGUUGAUUUAUAAAUUGGGAGAUCUGACUGCGCAUUUAUAAGAAGCAGGAAGUUGCUUUAUCCAAAUUAUCACAGUAUUGCUUUUUAGAUGGAUGCUGGGAAUCGCAAUUAUUCAAUGGCUAUUUACACUGCGAUCACCCUGCCUGGCACAGCACCUAUGACACAAGCCUGUGAGGGGGUGACACUACAGUGAAAAUUCUCUCUGCUUACCAUGCAUAAUCUUGCUUCCUCAGUAAUUUAUUUCUAAUCAGUUACUUAGUAGUUGUUCAAAGAUUUUAGCCAUUAGAGAUAAAGGGUGCAAUAUAUAAAAAAUAUGUAAAAUUUUGCUCUGUAAAGUUACUGGGCAUUUUCUUAAUGUGAAUUUCAGGCUUGGCAUGAGGGCAUCAUUAUUUUACACAUGAAGCAGGAGCUACACCUGGUUCUCCCAUGAUAGCUGGAAGAAAGUUCUUUGUAGUGAUACUGGAGAAGUGUUCUAUAGAUGGUUGAAGAGGGGUUUCUCUUCAAUUGCUUAGAUUCAUACUAAAAGACUUAUUAAAGGAAUUUCUAGUACUCUCACUCCCAAAUUCACACAUUUUUUAAUACUCUUUCUAUAUCAAACUCAAAGCUAAGUAGUCAAGAAGACAUAGAUCAUUGUAUUUUAGGAAGGAGAAAUGAAUGUACAGAUUCUCUUUUUCCUUUAUCUCUCCAGAAGGACUACUGAUCACAAACUUGCCUGUUUCAGGCCUUCACAAAACCUAAAGUUUAAUGCAUUAACAAAACUCCCUCCCCUUGGUUUCAUGGACUUUUUCUUGGGUUCCAAUGCAUAUACCCAAGGCAUUCAUUGGCUUUCAUUUUCUGCUUUUUAAAAUUAUGUUAGACAUCCAAAUCCAGUCUAAGAGAGAGAGUUCAAUUUCUUUGCUGGUUACUAAGUAUGGAUAAAUAGGACUACUUAUAUUUUUGCUAAAUGAUGAUGAUUAUCUAAGGAAUUGCACCUGAGUCUAGGUAGCCUUCAUUGGUUAAUAGUCAGAAAAGUGAUAGCACUGCCAUGUUCAUGGAGUUAUGCACAAAUAAUCAUUUUAUCUGUGUUCUUGCCAGAUCUGUGCAGAUAAUCGACACAAAAAUGCAAUUCACAAAGAAAAUACCCUAUUACAUCAGAAAUGGACACUGGGAAAAUAGAUCUGAGGAGCUGAACAACAAAGCAAAGCUAGCCUAGACUUGGUGUGGUGUUUUUUUGUUUUUGUUUUUGUUUUUACUUACUACCAAUACUGGAAAUACUGGGGAUACCUGGAGAGAAAGAAAACAAUAAAGAAAAGCUGUUAGCUAUUUAUUAGUACAUAGCAUCUUUAACUUAAUAUAAAAAUCUUAGAAACUUGACACUUGAUAACAUUCAGACUAUUAGGAAAUUAGCACACACACAAAAUACAUGUGUACGUAUAUAUGCAUAUACACAUUAUACACACACACACACACACACACACACACACACAAUUUCCAGCAAUUGAAACCAUUUUGUUUCAUUCUAGAACUCCUGGGCUCGUCAGAGUUGGGAAGUUAAUACUCAUUUCGGCAUCUGGUCCAAGUAAGCCUUUUGACAUCCAACAUUUUGUGGUUCCCUAUAAGGUUAAUGAGCAUUUGUAUGUGGUUCAAACUAGAUAUUAAACCAGGCUUAAGUUAUGGGUACAGAGUACCAAAUAUACACUCUAUGGACCUGUGCAAAUAUAUUCACAUAUGCAAUAGACCUUUUAAAAUGUGUUAUGAGAUGCAUGUGUUAGCUGUUGAAAAUCACUUGGCAUUUUAUUGAUUAAUUUCAUAUAACCAUCAUUUUUAUUCUUUUACUUGUCAGAUACGUGGAUUAAACUGUGUAAUAGAAACUUAAUUGAGCAGAAUAAUUCAAGAAUACAUUAGGUUGUGCAUAUUGAUCACGGACUUCAUCGAUUUUUCAGCUUUCACUUUAAUUCACAAGUUGUGCUAAGGUAGAGAAGCCAUUUCAGAAUAUGGCUGGACUUGGUAUAAAUGUGGACACGAAUUUAGUCUGUAUCUAACCCAGCAAUAUAGUGCUGUGGCCAAUAGUCUGGGCUCAGAAGCCAGGCUCUCUGAGUCUGAUGCUUGACUCCAACUCCUAAAUUUUCACUGACCACAUGACUUUGGGGCAAGUUGCUUAUGCCUUCUGUAGCUCAGUUUUUUAUCUCUUAGGGUUGCUGCAAGAGUUAUAUAAACUGACAGAUGUAAAUCACUCAGAGUAUUGCUCGACAGGUAGUAUGUACUAGGUCUGUCUUUGCUAUGAUUACUAUUACUGUUAUAGUUCAUUCACCAAGCAACAUUAUGAUAGAUGCUGUUAAUUAAAAGCCAGAGAUUUACAUCUUCACCACUAAUUUGGGUAGGAGAGCAUGCAACGGAAAUCAGACAGAACUCAGAGAAAAUUCUGCUUUACACUGCCUUGCUGGGUGAUUUUAGGCAAGUCUGCUAGCUUCUUUGCACUGUUUCCUCAUCUGAAAAAGGGCUAAUAAGAUCUACUGCAUAGGGCUGCCAUGAAGAUUGAAUGAGAUAAUCCAUAAAAAUGUCUGACACAUGGUAUGCGGCCAAUAAAUUAUAGCUGUUAAUGAGUUGUUCAGACUUGUUCUUCACAUCAUUGAAGUAUAGUAACAGGUGGUAACUGUAAAAAUCAUUAAGGUUCUAUUUUAGUAUUUAUCUUUGAACAACAGCCCUUGUUUUAUUUUAACUAAUCAUUUUAGCUUGCUCGGAGAUUUCUAGCUUUGUAUUCUUUAAAAUCAAAAACUAUUUUCCUAUUUUUUAGUGGGUAGGAGAGAAUAUGAAAUUAAGACUUACUCUGAUUCUUUUAAACCCUGGAAAGAAUGAAGUCUUAAUUUUAGUUAUUAGAAACACAAAAAUAUCUUGAUUUUAAAUGCUCAGAAUUUGUAGUGCUUCGGCUUAAUUACUGAUCAACCAAAACUAGAAAUCCAAAUUUCCAUGUCGAUGUUUUAACUCUACCCUAUGAAUCUCAAGCUGAACGUGAUUUCUGCAAAGGACUGCUGAAUUCCUGACCUGACACUUCAGUAGACUACCUUUGCUGCAGUGUGACAGUGACUCGAUACUGAAUCUUUUUUUUUUUGCAAAUCCUCUGUUGAGUGAGAUAUGAUGGCAGCAUCAUAAUUUUAGUAUCAAUUGCAGAAGUUCCAAAUUUUCCCAUGAUUGAAAAUCCUGCUGCAUUGCAAGGCACUGCUUGCCUGUUGUAAUCCAUCAAAGAGAAUGGAAGUUGGGAUGGCAGGAAGAGACUUUUCAUGUGCUUACAAACUUACAUAGUGCUAGAAGGGCAGGUAUUAUGCAAGGCAGAGAUCUCAGGGUGUUUGGCACGACACAAUGACGAACAAACCCGCAAGACUGUUUGAUGCAGUAUUUGCUGCAGCUGAAUACUUUAGAAAGAUGCAGAAAUUUUUUCAUCCUUUUGGGGAUACCAGGGAAGGGGAGCAAUGUUUGUUCCAAGUUUCCAAACCUCACCAAGCGAGGCUAUUAGGAGAUUCUGUUUUUCUCAUGAAGAUGUUUUCUAUUACUUAACAUUGGUUGCUUAAAAUUCAGGCUGUUCCUCAUUUUGUGGCUUACAAUUUUUUGAGGUGCUGCCAGAUGAGCCAUUUUUUCUAUUCCUCUGCUGUAAAAUGGGAAUGGCUUAGAAGAGAUUUUUAAACUGCUCAUUUGAAUACAGACCUUUGAAGUUGAAAAUGUCUGAACACCAAGGGAUGUCCACUACUAUAUUUGAAAAUAUCAUUAUUUUUUCUAAUGCUUCUUAUUUUAAUGUCCAAAUACCUUGUUUGUGGUUCUCUACAGAUAAAGAAUUGAAUAAACUCAUAAAUCCACUAGAAAGGCUACAGGUAAGCCAGGAGAAAUUCCUCAAAUGCUUGUGGGGAUAAGACAGAAAGGGCUAGAAAUGAACUGCAACAAUUUAUUUCAUGAAAGGUGGGGUGUCUUUGGGGUUUGUGAGGAAUGAAUCAAUGAAUGCAAUUCCAUCUUACAACAAACAGUGACUAUGUCUAAAAGCCACAGGAAUGAGAGUCAGAUUGUGCUUAGGAAAACUGUCUAGGCACAUGUUGGCAGUUUUUUUAACAUUCUCUGUGAAACGACAACUACCAUGUAAAGAAUAUUAUUACCUUCGAAACUGAGCUCAGAAGUUAUUUAUUUCCUUCCUCCUCCACAUCCCUGGUGUGAGUUAGCUACUCUCUCCUUUGUGAUCCCAUAGCAUUUUGUACAGGCCUCCAUGAUCAAUUUAUCAACUUGUUUUUGCAUUUUUUAUGUGUUUGCCUGACAGAUCUGAGGGCACAAGUUCCAUGUCUUGUUCCCUUCUGCACCUGUUGGAUCUGCCUGGGACAAUGUCUGAUGACAUAAAAGUUGCUCAACUUAUAUUGGAUCAAAAAUUUAUUACUUAUUUCCAUGAAAGUUUCUAUCAUUGUGAAAACAUCACUUUUUGGUCAAAGGGUGAUUUUAUCCCCCAUAAAGUGUUCCACUGAGAUUUCUCAGAGUUCAGGAUUAAUGGAUAUUAAUUGUUAAUAUUAAUAAUACACAUUGUCUUUGAACACAUCCAACAUUCUUAUGACAAGAGUUAGGCAAUAUACAAAUUCCUUUUACCACUUUGCCUUCCAUGAAACUCAGAGCUCAGUUUGAUGCUCAGCUGGGGAAACUGUUUAGCAUUUAAUGUUUGGCCUAUUUUCUUUCUAUUCUUUAUCUCGGAUCUUCUGUUUAAAUUCCAUUUUUUAAUACUCUUAUUUGUAUUUGUCUUUUUUCCUAACACACCCAGGGGCAAGUGCAGACUUUGUGAGACAUAAAAUGUGUACAAUUCUGUGACUUCUCUUUAAGAAAAAUAACUUAACAUUAAAAUAUAAAAUUUUAUAUAUAUAUAUAUAUAUAUAAAUUAAGAAGGAGUUCAGUGAGGGAUCCUGAAGUUUAAGCUUCAUUAGCUUAAAUUCACCUCUGGAACAACCUCAAAAAUACUUGGGAAAGAUAAAGAGACGACAGGUAAAUUAAAAAGAACGGAAGGAAGGAAGGAUACUAGAUAAUUCAGAAAGAGUGAUAAAAAAUGAAAGCUGAAAGGGAGUUAAGACAUCAUCUUCUCCAGCCCUUUCGUUUUAUAGAAGAGGCAUAAAGAGAUUCAAGUGCCUUGUCCAAGUCCAUCCCUUUAUAGUCAACAUCGGAGCAUGUAAUUUCUAGUCCCUGUGUGAGGCACUGUUAAAUUUGUGCAGAGGAAAUGAAGCACAGGUAUGCAUGAGGUUUUUUUUGUUUUUGUUUAUGUUUUUGACAGAGUCUUGUUUUGUCAUCCAGGCUGGAGUGCAGU